AAAUAAAUGAAUUUUUUUUUUUUCUUAAAAAGCUUUAUCUGUGUGUGUGGAACCACAGUGACCAAUGUGGUGAGUUGUCGUGUGUGGGAACCAGUACGUGCAGCCACAAAAUCAUGUGCUGCAAAUGUACGAGCACUGGUGGGUGCUGAGAGUGUCAUUCAUUGAUGUGAUCCCCCAAAUCCUUCAGUCCCUGGUUUACCCUGCUGUUCCCAAACUCGCCCUUCGGCAUGGGGUAUGUGCAGUCCUUGAGAGCAGGAACUCAGAGAGAAACUUGAGCCUUCCUCUGCUGGUAAAUCUGGGCCUGAAUGGCUUCGUUCUUCUAACCCCACUUGCUUUUCUGAGCCAGGGAGGAGCCGCGAUCAUUCCUUUGAAAGAAACAGAAUGCUCUAACUCUUUGGAUGAAAGACUGUUUUGAAGUGGCAGCUGUGGGCUUGGAAGGCCGAGUGUUGCCAUUCAAGGGCAAGCAUGCCGCCCCACCACAACCCCCCUUGCUGCCAUGAGGAAGGACAUGGUCUUCCCAGAAUGCAUCUGUGGGACGCACUUGAACAUCAGCCCGGCUGACGUGUCCAUGCUGGCAUGUCUGCUGUGUGCCUGGCCUGCACACUGGGUCUUUCUGUAGAAGCCUCCAAAGAGUACUGAAUGCAUGAAAUCACUCCCACUCACUUUUCAGAAAAAAGAAAAGACAGCAAGUCAAAAAUGCAUCUUCCAAAGCAGGGUUCUGCGAGAAUAGAAUGUUCCAUAGUUACUGUGCAGUAUGGUAGCCUGUAGCACGUGCGGCUGUUGAGCAUGUGAAAUAGGACAACUGAGGAGCAGAAUUGUUUUAUCGGCCGCUCUGUUGGACAACAUGGUCCCAAGGGCACCCAAGUCUCUUGGUCCAGUGGGGACCAGCUGUGACUUGGUUAGCUGGGGAAGCAGGUGUUCAUCUUGAUCUUCACACCAUCUUACAGGCUGAGAAGGGGGGAGGGGGGAGCGACACCCCACACCAGGGUCUGUGUGCUCUUUACGUAGUGGGACACGAGGCUGAGGGCUGUCGUUGCUCUUGCUUUGGGAGUCUGGAGAGAACUUGUACUUUCAGUGGCCCGCUUCUCCCCUCCUCUCAUUCCCCAGAGAGCUGUAUGACAGAAUGAGAUGGAACGCCAUCCUCCUUGUUCCCAAAUAGCAAGUAUCCAAAGCUCUUGACUUGCUGGUGAACUUGAACUGUUCUGCGCACUGAUUCCCGUUGUACGUGGUUUCAUAAACCCAUUUCACGGAGGUUGGUCUCCAUGAUGACAGCCAGCCGUCUUUUUUACAGUGAAAGAAAGCACACUUUCUUAUUUAGCCUGGACCUUUCCUUAUUUUCCAUAACUGAAGAGGAAUCUGGUUUAUAGUCCUCUCUUGUGGUGGGUUUAGACAGACGCUGCUUUUGAAUGGGAUGCUCCUCAAAAUGGCGCUGCCCAUCUCCAGUCCUUCCCUGUCUACUGGAAAGACCAUUCGGGGGUGUGGGUUGCAGCUGGGUUAAUGUGCUGGCCUUGAAGUAAAUAACUGCUCUCGAUUGCGAUUAAACAUCAUGAUGCAUUCAGGUUCGAUUUCUCAGACAACCCAUUUACUUAAAGUCCUGGGCGAUACAAACAGGAUACCUAACCCCAAGGCCACCACUGCUUUAGAUGAAGCAGAGAUGUCUCCAAACUGAAAAUGUCACCUGUCUCUGUCCCCUGGGGGAGCAUUAUGGACCUCAUCAGUAAAAGUUUAUUUUAAAAAUGAAGAAAUAUCAUCUUAGGAUGAACAGUUAAUUGUGGCUCUUCAUUUCACUUCAUGGAUGCUCAUUUUGUCUUUAUCUGUUUUGUUUUGUUUUUCUUUUCUGUUCCUUUGCCUUCAAGUACUUAAAUGUCACCCGCCAGUUCUGGAUUCUUACUCUGAACACAUUUUGGGGAAGGAGGCAGGUGGAAGCAUGGUGGGAGAAGGGAGAGAAGGGAUAACGCACUGCUGGUGUUGCCUGGGCUGGGCAGACAUUUUUAUUAAAGAGAUGAAGGGAUUUGAUCUUGACAUGAAAGAAACCUGAGUGGACCCACUUGAGUGGAUGUUGGUGACUUUGUACUUGUAGGGACCAAAGACAUCCAUCACCUUUCCACAAUGACCAUGUUGAUAUUUUUUUCUGAACCCAGCUUCACUGCUGUCCUCUCUGCUGACUUUGUUAGUGGAACAACCGCUCCUCCUUGUCACUCAAGCAGCACCCCCAUCCCCGCCAGCCCCAGGUCAAUGAGGAAGCCCUAGAACUGUGACUUAGUCCCCAACUCAUCGGCUCGUUGCUCUGCUACUCACCCGGAGUACAUUAAGCCACGUUCGCCUCUUGGAGCCCCGGGGUCCUCCCCACCAGAAUGUGAGUCAAGGACAGCCACCCCCUGGCCCUCGGCGUGGUGAGCUUAAUCGCAGAGCACUAGAGGGGAGCUGGCAAGGGCAAGCUCUCUCUGCGAAGGGCUGGUGUUGAUGAAGACCGAGAUGUCUCGCCCGUAACCGCUGCCUUUUCUCUCCUUUGAGUCCAGGCUGCUUUGAAUGCUGCAUCAAGUGUUUGGGAGGGGUCCCCUAUGCCUCUCUGGUGGCCACCAUCCUCUGCUUCUCUGGGGUCGCCCUGUUCUGUGGCUGCGGGCACGUGGCCCUGGCAGGCACCGUGGCAAUCCUUGAGCAGCACUUCUCCACCAACACCAGUGACCACACCCUGCUGAGUGAGGUGUAAGUACUGGCUUCCCCGGGGAAGGGCAUCCACCAGGCGACUGCCCCGGAAUGGCCCUGCUAGCAGGAAAGGGAGGCUUUUGGUUAAUGCCUACUUGGACACAGGCAGAACAAAAGCCCAGGGAGAAGGCAGGAGAAGGAAGGGCUGAGAAGGCAGGCAAUGUUUGGCCCCGGGGGUGUCUGGCCCAGGUUGCUGUCGGGUGGGUUGUUGGGGGGCUGCCAGCAGUGGGAUGGGAAGGGGUCCCAGGACGUGGCACAGCCUCAUCACGCUCUCUGUCCAGAGACCCACAGAGUCUUCUCUUCGCUGUGACAAAUGUCACCCUUGCAGCUGUUGUCAUCCUUCCCCCAGGAUACAGCUGAUGCAGUAUGUCAUCUAAGUUUUAUUGAAGAAAAGCUCUGUUCAAAAAUGUUGAAAAGCCACCCUUGGGCACCUUGAACACGGGUUGGCUUCAUACGUCGUACUUCACGGCCGCUGGGGCGGUGAAACAUAGAAGGGCCGGAACGGCUGCAGCAAUCCUGUGGCCAGCACAUCUGUCAGCGCCAUUUUCCCAAAGUCUUUAUCCGUUUCGAGUCUGUCCCAUUUUGGUACUUCUUACAAUACUGCAAACUUUCUCAUUAUUCUGUUGGUUGUGGGGAUGUCUGACGUGGCUAGAGGCAGUAACUGACACAGGCUGGGUCCGUUCUUCCUGCUCCACGGACCAGCCAUCGGCCCCAUCUUUCUCCCUCGGGCCUCCCUAUUCCACGAGACACAAAAGUAUUGAAAUCAGGCCAGUUACUAACCCUACAGUGGCCUCCAGGUGUUCAAGGGAAAGGAAGAGUCACCUGUCUCUCUCACUUUCCACCAAAAGCUAGAAGUGACCAAGCUUAGCGAGGAAAGUAAGUGGAGAGCCCGGCCAGGCGGAAAGCCAGGCCUCUUCUGCCAAACAGCCGAGGAGCGAAUGCGAAGCAAAGUUCUUAAAGGAAAUGAAAGGUGUUAGUCCAGUGAACACACAAGCAAUAAGAGACCGUUGUAGUUCUCUGGACAGAAGGGCAGACCAGCUGGAACAUGGGGAGGAAGCCGCAGAAGGGAGGUCGGAAGCCAGCAGAGGUGGCUUCGUGGGCUCUAAGGGAAGAAGCCGACCCCGCAACGUCAGAGCGCCAAGUGCAGUGGCGCGGAUUUCGAUUGGAGACCAAACAGCCUUCCACUGGAGGAAGAUGCCCCCAAGGACUUUCGUAGUUGGAGAGGAGAGGUCAGCGCCUGGCUUCAGAGUCGCAAAGGGCAGGCUGACGCUCUGGCUAGUGGCUGGGGACGGAAAGGGCUCCUGCUGAAGCCGUCGCGGCACUGGAGAGGACUCGGUCCAGUUCUGAAAGCGGUUUGGUGGUGACACGCUCUCGCACAGCCGGGCCUGCUGCAGCACUGCGGAGUGAAAGGAAGAGGAUCUGCCGCACAGACAUCACUGCCGAGCAGCCAGCAGCGACCUUCUGCCCGCUGGAAGACGGACCUACUUAAAGCUCAGGUGACGGUUAGCGUUUUUGAGCAAUAAAUAAAGUGUAUUUUCUUAAAGGUCAGUACCUUGUCUUUUCCAGACCUAAUGUUCUUGCACACUGACCAGACUACAGUAUAAAGAGGAGUUUGCACUGGGAAACCCCCAAAUUAAAUUGACUUGCUUUACUGUGAUGGUCUGGAACCAAACGGCAGUUUCUUGGAGGCAGGAUGGUACCUUUGAGGGGACCGGGGAACAGACCUGCCUUAGAGCAUGCUAGGUGACCGGGAGGCCUGAUGACAGCUAGGGCAGACCAGCUUCCGCCAGAAAGCUCCGUGAGCUCUGCCCACCCGGGACAGCGAAGCUGCCCUUUGUCCAUGAGCAGGCCCGGUGCUCACCGGUCCAUUAUGAGAAAGCCGCUGCUGGGGAGCGCAUUCUGGAAGCGCCUGAUGACCUCUGGAAGGCCAUGUUCAAGUCUUUUCUUUUUAGUAACUCCGCAAAGAUCCUUUUGAAGGGUGGGUAAGGAAAAAGCAGCCUGCUCUGGAGCAGCCCAUCCAUAAGCACAGGGCUCACAGGGAGUGUGAAACUGCUGAAAUGGGCUUUACUCUCCCUAGAAAUGCAAAAGCCUCUAAGUAUCCGUGCCCCUGAGAUACAAGCAAAGGUGACUUCUGCAGUUUCCUGCGGUGUGAGCCUGUCCCUCAAGCAGCCCUGAGCAACUCCAGCGCUUUCUUGCAGGAUGGAAAGGGACACCGGGUCUGCAGGUCUUGAGCAUUGCCUGAAGAAGAGAAGCGCCCGAUGAGAAUGGCAGAGCAUCGCCCACAAGCCCUGUGGGUGCCGGAUCUGCAAAGAGGACUACCCUGACGUGACGUUUUUGGAACGGCUUUCACCAUUCUCUGAAAACUGGUAGUCAAGGCAGGUUAGGCGGUGAAGCGAAGCCCCCCAACGAGGUUCUUCCCGAAGCCGUCCAUGCCCACGUGUGCAGAGCAGGCCGGAGAGCGGCCGUGCGCAUAGAACUGCGGAUCUUCCACAUGACAGCAGAGAGGGAAAGGGCUGUUGUACCAGACACUGCCUUAAGCUUGUGUUCAGGGCUGUUUCAGACUGUUACCUAAUGCGUUUGGUGAUUUCGCGGGCCUGUGAAACUAGGGAAGUUCCUUUCGAGAGAGGGCUUCCUGGAGCACCUGUCACCGUACUACGCUUGCGUCGCAGAACAUCAAGGCCCCUGAAAGCAGCCGGACGCUCCGCACGGUGAGUCCAGGAAAGAGCGGCAGGUGGGCGGCCAGCUCCUGAGAAGGGGACCUGCACAGGCGGUCACACUGUCCAUCGUGGAGCUCCAGAAAGCAUGACUGCCCUGACCCAGGAGAGGCUUCCCCUCUCCUUGUCACUGUGCCCAUCGCUCCUGUGGCCCAGGCGAUGCUGGGAGCUAUUUUUGAAGGAAUUUUUGAAAGUUUUUUGUUUAAGUAGUCUAAUAUUUUUUUGUUUUGCUCUGUAUAAAUUUUUGUAACCUAACAGUGAAUCAAUAUUUUCUAUCAGCCAAGGGCUUCCUGUAGUUCUAUUCAAAUAUUCAAGUGUUACAAUAAAUAUUUGUAGAUAAUAGCCAA